rnacentral:tRNA from 2 species
GCCCCCAUCGUCUAGUGGACUAGGAUACCUGGUUCUCAGCCAGGAGACCGGGGUUCGAUUCCCCGUGGGGGUA